rnacentral:rRNA from 1 species
GAUCAAGCUACAAAGGGCGCACGGUGAAUGCCCUGGCACUAGGAGCCGAUGAAGGACGUGAUAAGCUGCGAUAAGCUACAUGUAGGCGCACACAGCCUGUGAUAUGUAGAUUUCCGAAUGGGGAAACCCAUCUAGUUAUGCUAGAUACUGUAUACCGAAUACAUAGGUAUAUGGAGGUACACCUGGGGAACUGAAACAUCUAAGUACCCAGAGGAAGAGAAAGAAAAUUCGAUUCCCUAAGUAGCGGCGAGCGAAAGGGGAAGAGCCCAAACCAGGAACUUGUUCCUGGGGUUGCGGAUAGAUCAUAACGCUUUGAUUUCUUUAGUUGAAGAGAACUGGAAAGUUCCGUCGUAGAAGGUAAUAACCCUGUAGGCGAAAAGGAAAGAAAAGUAGAUCUACUCCAGAGUACCACGAGACACGUGAAACCUUGUGGGAAGCUGGGAGGACCAUCUCCCAAGGCUAAAUACUACCUAGUGACCGAUAGUGAAGCAGUACCGUGAGGGAAAGGUGAAAAGAACCCCGGAAGGGGAGUGAAAUAGAAUCUGAAACCGUGUGCCUACAAUCGGUCGGAGCACAUUAAAGUGUGACGGCGUACUUUUUGUAGAACGGGCCAGCGAGUUACGAUAUAUAGCGAGGUUAAGCACUUAUGGUGUGGAGCCGAAGGGAAACCGAGUCUGAAUAGGGCAACUAGUUGUAUAUUGUAGACCCGAAACCG